rnacentral:misc_RNA from 1 species
GGAAGGAUCAUUAACACGUUGUUUUUCACAAAAAACAAACAAAACAUCAACUCGCGCACUGAACCCGGCGUUGCGGCGGAAAGUAAUGAAGUUCUGGCUCUCACUUGUUGAGAGACUGCGCCCCCAACCCCAUUGUAAUUUACUUACAAUGGCCUUGGGUUCUUCCAACGCUUGCCCUUUUAAUUUAACCCUUCCAACUUUGAUCCUUUGCAUUGGGCUUCGGCUCUUUUGCAAUUGGACUCAGAGUAUCCGAUUUAAUUUCUUUACAGUGCAUCUGUCGCUGACAAGCUUCAGCCAGAGACACUUAAAACAAACUCGAACAACUCUUAGCAACGGAUAUCUUGGUUCCCACAACGAUGAAGAACGCAGCAAACUGCGAUACGUCUUGCGAAUUGCAGAAUUCAGUGAAUCAUCAAAUUUUCGAACGCAACCGGCGGUCUUGGGUAUUCCUGAGACCACGUUCCCUUCAGUGUCGCUUUGCGCCCAACUCAGCGGCGUGCUUCGUUUACGAGGCAUCGUGCAGCUGGAUACUGAGCGUUUCGGUCUUCUACCAAAGACUGAAUCGCUUUAAAUGUAAUGGACGCCCUUCAACAAAAACAAUGGGGCAAUGCUUGGUAUUAGGCAAUCGAAGCUUAACGGCCGAGAUUCCUUUACACAUCAAACAUUACCCUAUUUGUUGACAGGACAUCUUGAAACCCAAUACUUUGUGUUGUCUUUUCCCUCAAAAGAAAAGCCACUCACAAUCCAGCAUCUUAGACCUGAAGUGGAGCGAGGGCACCCGCUGAAUUUAAGCAUAUUAUUAAGCGGAGGAGAAGAAACUAACAAGGAUUCCCCCAGUAACGGCGAGUGAAGCGGGAAUAGCUCACAGUUAAAAUCGGGUUCCAUCUCGGACCUCGAGUUGUAAUCUAAAGACGUGUGUUCUGCGUGCGACCUGGGUAUAACUCCUUUGGAACAGGGGAUCAUAGAGGGUGAGAAUCCCGUCUUUGACCCGGAGUUCGCCGCGUACGAUGCAUGUUCAAAGAGUCGAGUUGCUUGGGACUGCAGCUCUAAAUGGGUGGUAAACUUCAUCUAAAGCUAAAUACGGGUGGGAGACCGAUAGCGAACAAGUAGCGUGAGCGAAAGAUGAAAAGAACUUUGAAAAGAGAGUUAAAAAGUACUUGAAAUUGCUAAGAGGGAAGUUAUGGAAACCAGUCUUUGCUUUGUGUCAUGUAACUAUUCGCUUUGAAAGGGGGAUUGGUGCAGAGUUCAUAGCCUGUAGCCAGUUCCCGGAUGAAAGCGUGUAGGUUAGGGCAUAAGGCGAGUCAGAAUCAAUUUAAUGGCGCCGUAGAAUACCGGUUGGAAGCUGUUCUCUCUGAGAAGUUAUAGCCUCCGGAGAUGCGGUGCUUUAGAUUGAGGAAACGACAACAUACCUUUAGUCCUGUUUACCUGCGUUCUUAAUUAGCUUGGACAGCAAAGCUGUGCGGCUGAUGAAAGGGCGUACUGUGGAUAGUAAACUACGUAUGUUUGCGAUUCUGACGAAAUGGUUUUCAUCGACCCGUCUGGAAACACGGACCAAGGAGUCUAACAUAUAUGCGAGUAUUUGGGUGGUAAACCCUGAUGCGGAAUGAAAGUGAAGGAGACCUAGUCUCUGAGGUAGGAACCCGUAAGGGGGCACUAUCGACCGAUCGAUCACUUGUGGUAGAUUUGAGUAAGAGCAUAUCUGUUGGGACCCGAAAGAUGGUGAUCUAUGCCUGAACAGAGUGAAGCCAGGGGAAACUCUGGUGGAAGCUCGUAGCGAUACUGACGUGCAAAUCGUUCGUCUGAUUUGGGUAUAGGGGCGAAAGACUAAUCGAACCAUCUAGUAGCUGGUUCCCUC